UGUCCGGAUUUACUGGGUGUAAAGGGUGCGUAGGCGGCUAUGCAAGUCAGAUGUGAAAUCUAUGGGCUCAACCCAUAAACUGCAUUUGAAACUGUAGAGCUUGAGUGAAGUAGAGGCAGGCGGAAUUCCCCGUGUAGCGGUGAAAUGCGUAGAGAUGGGGAGGAACACCAGUGGCGAAGGCGGCCUGCUGGGCUUUAACUGGCGCUGAGGCACGAAAGCGUGGGUAGCAAACAGGAUUAGAUACCCUGGUAGUCCACGCUGUAAACGAUGAUUACUAGGUGUGGGGGG
rnacentral:rRNA from 1 species